rnacentral:rRNA from 1 species
UAGGGAAUCUUCCGCAAUGGGCGAAAGCCUGACGGAGCAACGCCGCGUGAGUGAUGAAGGUCUUCGGAUCGUAAAACUCUGUUAUUAGGGAAGAACAAAUGUGUAAGUAACUAUGCACGUCUUGACGGUACCUAAUCAGAAAGCCACGGCUAACUACGUGCCAGCAGCAGCGGUAAUACGUAGGUGGCAAGCGUUAUCCGGAAUUAUUGGGCGUAAAGCGCGCGUAGGCGGUUUUUUAAGUCUGAUGUGAAAGCCCACGGCUCAACCGUGGAGGGUCAUUGGAAACUGGGAAACUUGAGUGCAGAAGAGGAAAGUGGAAUUCCAAGUGUAGCGGUGAAAAGCGCAGAGAUAUGGAGGAACACCAGUGGCGAAGAGGACUAUCUGGUGUGUAACUGACGAUGAUGUGCGAAAGCGAGGGGAUCAAACAGG